UUCGGCCCUCGGCAUACUGCUCAGUAACACGUGGAUAACCUGCCCUAAGGAAGGGGAUAACCCCGGGAAACUGGGGAUAAUACCCUAUAGGUUACAGAUGCUGGAAUGCUCUGUAACUCAAAGCUCCGGCGCCUUAGGAUGGAUCUGCGGCCGAUUAGGUUGUUGUUGGGGUAACGGCCCAACAAGCCAGUAAUCGGUACGGGUUGUGGGAGCAAGAGCCCGGAGUUGGAUUCUGAGACACGAAUCCAGGCCCUACGGGGCGCAGCAGGCGCGAAAACUUUACAAUGCGGGCAACCGUGAUAAGGGAACCUCGAGUGCCUGUAUAUGCAGGCUGUCCAGGUGUCUAAAGCACACCUGAAGAAAGGGCCGGGCAAGACCGGUGCCAGCCGCCGCGGUAAUACCGGCGGCUCGAGUGGUGGCCACUUUUAUUGGGCUUAAAGCGUUCGUAGCUGGGUUGUUAAGUCUCUUGGGAAAUCCGACGGCUCAACCGUCGGGCGUCUAAGGGAUACUGGCAAUCUUGGAACCGGGAGAGGUGAGGGGUACUUCGGGGGUAGGAGUGAAAUCCUGUAAUCCUCGAGGGACCACCUGUGGCGAAGGCGCCUCACCAGAACGGCUUCGACAGUGAGGGACGAAAGCUGGGGGAGCAAACCGGAUUAGAUAC
rnacentral:rRNA from 1 species